rnacentral:rRNA from 1 species
AAUCAACGCUGGCGGCGUGCCUAACACAUGCAAGUCGCACGAGAAAGGGACUUCGGUCCUGAGUACAGUGGCGCACGGGUGAGUAACACGUGAAUCAUCUACCUUCGAGUGGGGAAUAACUGAGAGAAAUCUUAGCUAAUACCGCAUAAUACCUACGGGUCAAAGCAGCAAUGCGCUUGAAGAGGAGUUCGCGGCAGAUUAGUUAGUUGGCAGGGUAAUGGCCUACCAAGACGAUGAUCUGUAUCCGGCCUGAGAGGGCGCACGGACACACUGGAACUGAAACACGGUCCAGACUCCUACGGGAGGCAGCAGUGGGGAAUUUUGCGCAAUGGGGGAAACCCGUGACGCAGCAACGCCGCGUGGAGGAUGAAAUCCCUUGGGAUGUAAACUCCUUUCGAUCGGGAAGAUAAUGACGGUACCGAGAGAAGAAGCCCCGGCUAACUUCGUGCCAGCCGCCG